rnacentral:rRNA from 1 species
UACGUAGGGCGCAAGCGUUGUCCGGAAUCAUUGGGCGUAAAGAGCUCGUAGGCGGCCUGUCGCGUCCGCUGUGAAAUCCCGGGGCUUAACCCCGGGCGUGCAGUGGAUACGGGCUGGCUGGAGGCAGGCAGGGGAGAACGGAAUUCCCGGUGGAGCGGUGAAAUGCGUAGAGAUUGGAAAGAACACCGAUGGCGAAGGCACUUUACUGGGCUAUUACUAACACUCAGAGACGAAAGCUAGGGUAGCAAAUGGG